AGCGAACGCUGGCGGCAGGCCUAACACAUGCAAGUCGAACGAACCUUUCGGGGUUAGUGGCGGACGGGUGAGUAACACGUGGGAACGUGCCCUUAGGUUCGGAAUAACUCAGGGAAACUUGUGCUAAUACCGAAUGUGCCCUUCGGGGGAAAGAUUUAUCGCCUUUAGAGCGGCCCGCGUCUGAUUAGCUAGUUGGUUGAGGUAAUGGCUCACCAAGGUGUCGAUCAGUAGUUGGUCUGAGAGGAUGAUCAGCCACAUUGGGACUGAGACACGGCCCAAACUCCUACGGGAGGCAGCAGUGGGGAAUCUUGCGCAAUGGGCGAAAGCCUGACGCAGCCAUGCCGCGUGAAUGAUGAAGGUCUUAGGAUUGUAAAAUUCUUUCACCGGGGACGAUAAUGACGGUACCCGGAGAAGAAGCCCCGGCUAACUACGUG
rnacentral:rRNA from 1 species